rnacentral:rRNA from 1 species
CCUACGGGUGGCAGCAGUCGGGAAUAUUGCGCAAUGGAGGAAACCCUGACGCAGCGACGCCGCGUAUAGGAUGAAGGUCUUCGGAUUGUAAACUACUGUUGUUAGGGAAGAAAAAGGACAGUACUUAAGGAGGAAGCCCCGGCCAACUACGUGCAAGCAGCCGCGGUAAUACGCAGGGAGCAAGCGUUAUCCGGAUUUAUUGGGGGUAAAGGGGGCGUAGACGGGUAACCAAGUUAGAUGUGAAAUCCCUCGGCUCAACUAAGGAACUGCAUCUAAAACUGGAUUUCUUGAGUGCGGGAGAGGAAGGCGGAAUUCGUGGUGUAGCGGUGAAAUGCGUAGAUAUUAAGAGGAACACCCAUGGCGAAGGCGGCUUGCUGGAACGUAACUGACGUUGAGGCGCGAAAGCGUGGGGAGCAAACAGGAUUAGAUACCCGAGUAGUC